rnacentral:rRNA from 1 species
UCGAGGGGUAUAGUAGCAAUACUAGAGACCGGCGCACGGGUGCGUAACGCGUAUGCAACCUACCUUUUACAGGGGAAUAGCCCAGAGAAAUUUGGAUUAAUGCCCCAUGGUAUAAUUGAAUGGCAUCAUUUGAUUAUUAAAGUUCCAACGGUAAAAGAUGGGCAUGCGUCCUAUUAGCUAGAUGGUAAGGUAACGGCUUACCAUGGCUACGAUAGGUAGGGGUCCUGAGAGGGAGAUCCCCCACACUGGUACUGAGACACGGACCAGACUCCUACGGGAGGCAGCAGUGAGGAAUAUUGGACAAUGGGCGCAAGCCUGAUCCAGCCAUGCCGCGUGCAGGAAGACGCAUCUAUGGUGUGUAAACUGCUUUUGUACGGGAAGAAACACUCCUACGUGUAGGAGCUUGACGGUACCGUAAGAAUAAGGAUCGGCUAACUCCGUGCCAGCAGCCGCGGUAAUACGGAGGAUCCAAGCGUUAUCCGGAAUCAUUGGGUUUAAAGGGUCCGUAGGCGGUUUAAUAAGUCAGUGGUGAAAUCUGGUCGCUCAACGAUCAAACGGCCAUUGAUACUGUUAGACUUGAAUUACUGGGAAGUAACUAGAAUAUGUAGUGUAGCGGUGAAAUGCUUANAUAUUACAUGGAAUAC